rnacentral:tRNA from 1 species
GGAUUGUGGCUUAACGGUAGAGUGCUUGUCUAGCAAGUGCAAGGCCCUGGGUUCGAUCCCCAGCACCA